rnacentral:lncRNA from 1 species
GAUUAGUCUGGAACUGUUGCAUCCAUGAGCUGACCUAAGGAUAAACCAUGAAGGAGCCUCCCAUGUGCAUUUGGAAUGGAAAAUAUAUAGCAGAAACUAGAAUGACAGCAUUUCCACUACAGCAACCAAGAAACAUCUACAUGAUUUUUCUAAUUAUACCUCUAAAUUUUCACAGAUUUCUGUACUACAAGCCAAUUGAGAUGACAGCAAAGUGCUAGUGGAAGACUCCCAUUUAAAGCUUUACAAGUUUGCGGGAAGAAACACAAUGCUGUCUUGCCUGCUGUUGCCAGGGGUGUAUUGUUCUCAUGUUAAAUUUCUUUUAGAAUCCAUCACCUUGCACCUGGGAAUAUAGUUGCCAAAUAAAGUAAGCACUCCAACCUGAGGAUUAUAUUGUAGAAUAAGAACAGCCAUUAUUUCUGACAAACACAAGUAAUUGUAAACAAAAUGGCCCUGAUGUACUAUUAGAUGAUAUGAAAAUGGCUCUUGACAUAGAAGAUUGAAUAUGGGGAAAGCAUUCAGUAUGUGUAGUGGCAAAUUUAGAAAAAAAAAAAAGUCCUCUACAGCAUGCAUCUCGCAGAUCACAACAACAAUUAAACAUGUUCUUUCAAGUCUGUUCUGUGCAGGGAUAAUUUAGAGGGAUGGAUGGAAGUAAAUUGUUAGUUGUUAGAUUUGGUCAAUUUUGUGUUGUCUUUUUUAUGACAUGCAAUAAGUUAUAGCAUUGUGG